rnacentral:rRNA from 1 species
UAACGCGUGGGUAACCUGCCUCNUACAGGGGGAUAACAGUUAGAAAUGACUGCUAAUACCGCAUAAGCGCACGGGACUGCAUGGUCCAGUGUGAAAAACCGAGGUGGUAUGAGAUGGACCCGCGUCUGAUUAGCUGGUUGGCGGGGUAACGGCCCACCAAGGCGACGAUCAGUAGCCGACCUGAGAGGGUGGCCGGCCACAUUGGGACUGAGACACGGCCCAAACUCCUACGGGAGGCAGCAGUGGGGAAUAUUGCACAAUGGGGGAAACCCUGAUGCAGCAACGCCGCGUGAGUGAAGAAGUAUUUCGGUAUGUAAAGCUCUAUCAGCAGGGAAGAGAAUGACGGUACCUGACUAAGAAGCCCCGGCUAACUACGUGCCAGCAGCCGCGGUAAUACGUAGGGGGCGAGCGUUAUCCGGAUUUACUGGGUGUAAAGGGAGCGUAGACGGUUCUGCAAGUCUGAAGUGAAAGCCCGUGGCUUAACCGCGGAACGGCUUUGGAAACUGUGGAACUGGAGUGCUGGAGAGGCAAGCGGAAUUCCUAGUGUAGCGGUGAAAUGCGUAGAUAUUAGGAGGAACACCAGUGGCGAAGGCGGCUUGCUGGACAGUAACUGACGUUGAGGCUCGAAAGCGUGGGGAGCAAACAGGAUUAGAUACCCUGGUAGUCCACGCGGUAAACGAUGAACGCUAGGUGU